rnacentral:sRNA from 1 species
AUACCAAAAUUUGAAAUCCCACCUCAACAUCAUCAAUAACAAGCUCUUCUUAUUGGUUACAAAAGCUGCUUUUCCACUUAAAAGAUUUCCUUUGUGGUUAAUGAAAUACUCUACUGGAAUUAUUAGUCUUUCAUUUGCUUUUAUAAUGCCAACUGUUUGGUUUUUAAUUAGCCACAGGCCUAUAGGCUAAUUGAAUCUUGUCUUACUGUUCUUAUCUGCCCAACCACAUAAGUAUCAUGAAAGAAUUUCAGUGCAAACAUGGAGACAUUCAGUAUUUAUGAAAGUUUCAUUAGUACAUCUUUUGUAAUUAUAGUUCAUCAGUAUUUGUUAGUUCUGUGGUUUUAUAUUGCAUAUAAGCAUGAUCUAAAUCACCUUUUGUCUCUUUUUUCUUUCCCCUCUUCUUCAAAUGAACAUGUGGAAACAGAAUACACAUGUUCCUUUCUGCCGAAAUUCUCCAUUCAUAUAGAAACCAAGUAUGAGGACAACAAAGGAAGCAAUGACACCAUUUUCGACAAUGAAGCCAAAGACCUGGAGAGAGAAGUUUGCUUUAUUGAUAUUGCCUGCGAUGAAAUUCCAGAGCGCUACUACAAAGAAUCUGAGGAUCCUAAGCACUUCAAGUCAGAGAAGACAGGACGGGGACAGUUGAGGGAAGGCUGGAGAGAUAGUCAUCAGCCUAUCAUGUGCUCCUACAAGCUGGUGACUGUGAAGUUUGAGGUCUGGGGGCUUCAGACCAGAGUGGAACAAUUUGUACACAAGGUGGUCCGAGACAUUCUGCUGAUUGGACAUAGACAGGCUUUUGCAUGGGUUGAUGAGUGGUAUGAUAUGACAAUGGAUGAUGUUCGGGAAUACGAGAAAAACAUGCAUGAACAAACCAACAUAAAAGUUUGCAAUCAGCAUUCCUCCCCUGUGGAUGACAUAGAGAGUCAUGCCCAAACAAGUACAUGACAAUGGAUGAAGUCCGAGAAUUUGAACGAGCCACUCAGGAAGCCACCAACAAGAAAAUCGGCAUUUUCCCACCUGCAAUUUCUAUCUCCAGCAUCCCCCUGCUGCCUUCUUCUGUCCGCAGUGCGCCUUCUAGUGCUCCAUCCACCCCUCUCUCCACAGACGCACCCGAAUUUCUGUCCGUUCCCAAAGAUCGGCCCCGGAAAAAGUCUGCCCCAGAAACUCUCACACUUCCAGACCCUGAGAAAAAAGCCACCCUGAAUUUACCCGGCAUGCACUCUUCAGAUAAGCCAUGUCGGCCCAAAUCUGAGUAACUUUAUAUAAAUAUCUCAUGGGGUUUUAUAUUUUCAUUUUUUUUUUUUUUUAAGAAUCUUCUGAUAGAGAAAAAGACUGCUUUGUCACUCAAACUGUUCCUUCGACCUUUCAGUGUGCAUGUGACUCAGUAACUUCACAUAGAAUAUGAUUCCCUAAGUAUGCUACACAGCAUCAUAUUAGAUGUGAGAUGUAAGACUUGCAAAGGACAGAAGGAAUCUUCUGUAACCACAUAGCUGUAAGCCAGAGAGGAAGCCUUGUUAUUGGGCAUUUGAUGAGGUGUGGCAUGGACUUCAAGGAUAAAUGAAUGAAAACUUUGCACCACUUUUGUUACAAGGUGUGGUAGAAAAUAGUGAAGUCAGUUUCCUCUCAUCAAAUCUAAAAUUCUCCAAAAUACUCUCAGGCAUAACAUACUUAGCUGUUAAAUUUUGAACUGCUAAUUACUAAUACUUGAAUACCAGUAGUUACUGAGA